AACGAACGCUGGCGGCAGGCUUAACACAUGCAAGUCGAACGCAUCGCAAGAUGAGCGGCAGACGGGUGAGUAACGCGUGGGAACAUACCCUUUUCUACGGAAUAGCUCUGGGAAACUGGAAUUAAUACCGUAUACGCACUACGGGGGAAAGAUUUAUCGGGGAAGGAUUGGCCCGCGUUGGAUUAGCUAGGUGGUGGGGUAAAGGCCUACCAAGGCGACGAUCCAUAGCUGGUCUGAGAGGAUGAUCAGCCACAUUGGGACUGAGACACGGCCCAAACUCCUACGGGAGGCAGCAGUGGGGAAUAUUGGACAAUGGGCGCAAGCCUGAUCCAGCCAUGCCGCGUGAGUGAUGAAGGCCUUAGGGUUGUAAAGCUCUUUCACCGAUGAAGAUAAUGACGGUAGUCGGAGAAGAAGCCCCGGCUAACUUCGUGCCAGCCGCCGCCGUAAUAC
rnacentral:rRNA from 1 species